UACGUAGGGGGCAAGCGUUGUCCGGAAUCACUGGGCGUAAAGCGCGUGUAGGCGGAUCGCUAAGUCUGUGGUGAAAGCGCCUGGCUUAACCGGGCGAGGUCCAUGGAAACUAGCGGUCUGGAGGCCGGUAGAGGGGGGUGGAAUUCCCAGUGUAGCGGUGAAAUGCGUAGAUAUUGGGAGGAACACCGGUGGCGAAGGCGGCCCCCUGGGCUGGUACUGACGCUGAUGCGCGAAAGCGUGGGUAGCAAACGGG
rnacentral:rRNA from 1 species